rnacentral:rRNA from 1 species
UACGUAGGGCGCAAGCGUUAUCCGGAAUUAUUGGGCGUAAAGAGCUCGUAGGCGGUUUGUCGCGUCUGCCGUGAAAGUCCGGGGCUCAACUCCGGAUCUGCGGUGGUACGGGCAGACUAGAGUGAUGUAGGGGAGACUGGAAUUCCUGGUGUAGCGGUGAAAUGCGCAGAGAUCGGGAGGAACACCCGUAGCGAAGGCGGCACUCUGGGCCGGUACUGACGCUGAGGAGCGAAAGCGUGGGGAGCAAACAGG